rnacentral:rRNA from 1 species
UCCUACGGGAGGCAGCAGUGGGGAAUAUUGGACAAUGGGCGAAAGCCUGAUCCAGCAAUGCCGCGUGAGUGAUGAAGGCCUUAGGGUUGUAAAGCUCUUUUACCCGGGAUGAUAAUGACAGUACCGGGAGAAUAAGCCCCGGCUAACUCCGUGCCAGCAGCCGCGGUAAUA